rnacentral:rRNA from 1 species
GACGAACGCUGGCGGCGUGCUUAACACAUGCAAGUCGAACGCUGAAGCUCAGCUUUUGUUGGGCGGAUGAGUGGCGAACGGGUGAGUAACACGUGAGUAACCUGCCUCCUUCUUUGGGCUAACGCCCGGAAACGGGUGCUAAUACUGGAUAUUCACUGGUAUUCGCAUGGGGGUUGGUGGAAAGGGUUUUUCUGGUGGGGGAUGGGCUCGCGGCCUAUCGGCUUGUUGGUGGGGUGAUGGCCUACCAAGGCUUUGCCGGGUAGCCGGCCUGAGAGUGUGACCGGUCACAUUGGGACUGCGAUCCGGCCCAGACUCAGACGGGAGGCAGCAGUGGGGAAGAGUGCACAAUGGGGGCAAGCCUGAUGCAGCGACGCCGCGGGAGGAAUGGAGGCGUGCGGGUUGUGAACCUCUUUCGCUCAUGGUCAAGCCGCAACAAUGGUUGUGGUGAGGGUAGUGGGUAAAGAAGCGCCGGCUAACUACGUG